rnacentral:rRNA from 1 species
GACGAACGCUGGCGGCGUGCUUAACGCAUGCAAGUCGAACGGAAAGGCCCUGCUUUUGUGGGGUGCUCGAGUGGCGAACGGGUGAGUAACACGUGAGUAACCUGCCCUUGACUUUGGGAUAACUUCAGGAAACUGGGGCUAAUACCGGAUAGGAGCUCCUGCUGCAUGGUGGGGGUUGGAAAGUUUCGGCGGUUGGGGAUGGACUCGCGGCUUAUCAGCUUGUUGGUGGGGUAGUGGCUUACCAAGGCUUUGACGGGUAGCCGGCCUGAGAGGGUGACCGGCCACAUUGGGACUGAGAUACGGCCCAGACUCCUACGGGAGGCAGCAGUGGGGAAUAUUGCACAAUGGGCGGAAGCCUGAUGCAGCAACGCCGCGUGCGGGAUGACGGCCUUCGGGUUGUAAACCGCUUUCGCCUGUGACGAAGCGUGAGUGACGGUAAUGGGUAAAGAAGCACCGGCUAACUACGUG